CGACUCACGUCGGGACGUAACACUAUUGUAUGCCGUGCAUACACGUUCUUAUUACAAGUUUUUUUUUUUUGGUUUUAAUGUUUUAUUAUUACAAGUUGCUCGUUUUCUAGCUUAUUAAUACGAAUAGAUUAAUGUACACUAAACCAAUAAAUUAAUUAGAAAACUAACCCUCUUUGUCAACGCAAUUAACCUAUAAAACCCAUGGAAUCAGUUUUCGAAAG
rnacentral:lncRNA from 1 species